GUCCUUGUCGUAAACGAUGUGUACUUGAUGUAGUUAGGCUCAACCCUGACUGUGUCGUAGCUAACGCGAUAAGUACACCGCCUGAGGAGUACGCUCGCAAGGGUGAAACUCAAAAGAAUUGACGGGGGCCCCGCACAAGCAGUGGAGCAUGUGGUUUAAUUCGAUGCAACGCGAAGAACCUUACCUGGGCUCGAAAUGCAGAGGGCGAUACCAGAAAUGGUAUUUUCCGUAAGGACUUCUGUAUAGGUGCUGCAUGGCUGUCGU
rnacentral:rRNA from 1 species